rnacentral:lncRNA from 1 species
AAAAUUUUUAAUAUUUAUUUUUUUUAAUUUGAAAUCGUUUCCCCAAAAUUUUACCCCUUAACUCUAAACUUUAAAUCUAUAUUAGUUAACCUCUUAUUUUUACUCUCAAAUAGUUUUUUUUUUAAAGUUUUAUCACAAAAAUAACUUUCGAAAAACAAAAUAACCAAAAUAACCUUUUUGAUUUUGAAAAUUUUAAUUUUAAUUUUUUAUUUUUUUAAAUUUGAAAUCGUAUACUCAAAUCUCUAUCUUUUAACUCUAAACCUUAAGUCUAAAUUAGUUAAUCCUAUAUUUUUACUUUUUAGUAAAAUUUAUUUUAGUUAUUUUCUUCACUGAAAACUAUUUUUAUGACAAAUACUUAAAAAGAUCUAUCGUAGAGAAUUUAUCAUCAAAAAUUA